GAGGGUAUAGCUCAGUGAUAGAGUGUGUACUUAGCAUGCAUGAGGUCCUGGGUUCAAUCCCCAGUACUGCCA
rnacentral:tRNA from 1 species